ACGUCUUAGCCAUGCCAGUUUCCACAGUUGCUUCAGAAUCGGUAUUUAGUACUGGAGGAAGGGUGUUAAAUAAUUAUAGGAGUUCUCUAACACCGAUGACAGCUGAAGCGUUAAUUUGUACCCAAAAUUGGCUCCGAAACUCUCCAAAACUUGUCCUUGAGGAACUCAUCGAGGAAUUGGAGAAGUUGGAAUUAGAAGUUGCACCCACUCGUGAUCCCAAUGAAGAAGAUUCUGGUGUUGAGUCUGAUUAAAGUACAUCUUGUUAAGUUGUUAUGGUUGGUUUGCAUUAUGAAGUUAGCUAUUUUAUUGGAGAAGACACCAUAACUUUGCUAAUGACAAUUUA